rnacentral:rRNA from 1 species
CAGUCGCCACGGGAAUACGUAGGUGGCAAGCGUUGUCCGGAAUUAUUGGGCGUAAAGGGCUCGCAGGCGGUUUCUUAAGUCUGAUGUGAAAGCCCCCGGCUCAACCGGGGAGGGUCAUUGGAAACCGGGAAACUUGAGUGCAGAAGAGGAGAGUGGAAUUCCACGUGCAGUGGUGAAAUGCGUAGGGAUGUGGGGGAACACCAGUGGCGAAGGCGACUCUCUGGUCUGUAACUGACGCUGAGGAGCGAAAGCGUGGGGAGCGAACAGGAUUAGAUACCCCCGUAGUCCCUGUCUCUUAUAA